rnacentral:rRNA from 1 species
UGGAAGUAAAAGUCGUAACAAGGUCUCCGUUGGUGAACCAGCGGAGGGAUCAUUACAGAGUUUUCUAAACUCCCAACCCUAUGUGAACUUACCUUUGUUGCUUCGGCGGCGGAGGCUACCCUGCGGGAGAAUACCACUUAGUGGUUACCCUGUAGUUUCAGGUACAUCAGCUACCCGGUAGUCAUCCCCGCCGGCGGCCAACUAAACUCUGUUUUCUUUGGAAUUCUGAAUAACAAACUUAAUAAGUUAAAACUUUCAACAACGGAUCUCUUGGUUCUGGCAUCGAUGAAGAACGCAGCGAAAUGCGAUAAGUAAUGUGAAUUGCAGAAUUCAGUGAAUCAUCGAAUCUUUGAACGCACAUUGCGCCCAUUAGCAUUCUAGUGGGCAUGCCUGUUCGAGCGUCAUUUCACCACUUAAGCCUUGUUGCUUAGCGUUGGGAGCCUACGGCACGGCCCGUAGCUCCUUAAAGUGAUUGGCGGAGUUGGUUCUCACUCUAAGCGUAGUAAUUAUAUCUCGCUUCUGUAGUGGUCCCGGCCCCUGCCGUAAAACCCCUUAUACAAAGGUUGACCUCGGAUCAGGUAGGAAUACCCGCUGAACUUAAGCAUAUCAAUAAGCGGAGGAA